CCUACGGGAGGCAGCAGUGGGGAAUCUUGGGCAAUGGAGGAAACUCUGACCCAGCAACGCCGCGUGAAUGAUGAAGGUCUUCGGAUUGUAAAGUUCUUUUCUAAGGGAAGAAGAAAGUGACGGUACCUUAGGAAUAAGCCUCGGCUAACUACGUGCCAGCAGCCGCGGUAAUACGAAGGAGGCGAGCGUUAUCCGGAGUGACUGGGAGGAAAGGUUGCGUAGGUGGGUUGGCAAGGUAGUAGCGUAACUCCAAGGCUCAACAUUGGAACUCCUACUAAAACUGUUUGAAUUGAGUGCAGGAGGGGCAACCGGAAUUCCUAGUGUAGCGGUGGAAUGCGUAGAUAUUAGGAGGAACACCAGUGGCGAAGGCGGGUUGCUGGACUGUAACUGACACUGAGGCACGAAAGCGUGGGGAGCAAACAGGAUUAGAUACCCUGGUAGUC
rnacentral:rRNA from 1 species